UACGUAGGGGGCAAGCGUUGUCCGGAAUCAUUGGGCGUAAAGAGCGUGUAGGCGGCCCGGUAAGUCCGCUGUGAAAGUCCAGGGCUCAACCCUGGGAUGCCGGUGGAUACUGUCGGGCUCGAGUCCGGAAGAGGAGUGUGGAAUUCCUGGUGUAGCGGUGAAAUGCGCAGAUAUCAGGAGGAACACCGAUGGCGAAGGCGGCUCUCUGGAACGCAACUGACGCUGAGACGCGAAAGCGUGGGGAGCAAACAGG
rnacentral:rRNA from 1 species